rnacentral:rRNA from 1 species
GGAGGAUCUGAUGCAGCAACGCCGCGUGGAGGAUGACGCAUUUCGGUUUGUAAACUCCUUUUAUGUGAGAAGAUAAUGACGGUACCAUAUGAAUAAGCACCGGCUAACUCCGUGCCAGCAGCCGCGGUAAUACGGAGGGUGCAAGCGUUACUCGGAAUCACUGGGCGUAAAGCGCGCGCAGGCUGUCUUUUAAGUUGGAUGUGAAAUCCUAUGGCUCAACCAUAGAACUGCAUCCAAAACUAUUAGACUAGAGUCUGGGAGGGGAAGAUGGAAUUAAUGGUGUAUGGGUAAAAUCCGUAAAUAUGCGGAGGAACACCGAUGGCGAAGGCAACUCCCUGGGCCUGCACUGACGCUCAUGAUCAAAUGCGUGGGGAGCAAACACGAUUAGAUACCCUGGUAGUCCACGCCCUAAACGAUGAAUGUUAGUCGUCGGAGGCUUC